GGGGAUGUAGCUCAAUGGUAGAGCACUUGCCUAGCAUGCACAAGGGCCUGGGUGCUAUCCCCAGCACCACAA
rnacentral:tRNA from 1 species